rnacentral:tRNA from 1 species
GGAGAUAUAGCUCAAUUGGUAGAGUGCUUGCCUCAUGCAAAAGGCCCUGGGUUCAUUCCCCAGCACCA